rnacentral:rRNA from 1 species
GAUGAACGCUGGCGGCGUGCCUAAUACAUGCAAGUCGAGCGAACAGACGAGGAGCUUGCUCCUCUGACGUUAGCGGCGGACGGGUGAGUAACACGUGGAUAACCUACCUAUAAGACUGGGAUAACUUCGGGAAACCGGAGCUAAUACCGGAUAAUAUAUUGAACCGCAUGGUUCAAUAGUGAAAGACGGUUUUGCUGUCACUUAUAGAUGGAUCCGCGCCGCAUUAGCUAGUUGGUAAGGUAACGGCUUACCAAGGCAACGAUGCGUAGCCGACCUGAGAGGGGGAUCGGCCACGCUGGAACUGAGACACGGCCCAGACUCCUACGGGAGGCAGCAGGAGGGAAUCUCGCGAAAUGGGCGAAAGCCUGACGGAGCAACGCCGGGGGAGUGAUGAAGGUCUUCGGAUCGUAAAACUUUGUUAUUGGGGAAAAAAAAAUGUGUAAGUAACUAUGCACGUUUUGACGGUACCUAAUCAAAAAGCCCCGGCUAACUACGU